rnacentral:rRNA from 1 species
AUUGAACGCUGGCGGCAUGCCUUACACAUGCAAGUCGAACGGCAGCGGGGACUUCGGUCCGCCGGCGGGUGGCGAACGGGUGAGUAAAGCAUCGGAACGUACCCGGAAGUGGGGGAUAACGUAGCGAAAGUUACGCUAAUACCGCAUAUUCUGUGAGCAGGAAAGAGGGGGAUCUUCGGACCUCUUGCUUUCGGAGCGGCCGAUGUCAGAUUAGCUAGUUGGUGAGGUAAGGGCUCACCAAGGCGACGAUCUGUAGCGGGUCUGAGAGGAUGAUCCGCCACACUGGAACUGAGACACGGUCCAGACUCCUACGGGAGGCAGCAGUGGGGAAUUUUGGACAAUGGGCGCAAGCCUGAUCCAGCCAUGCCGCGUGAGUGAAGAAGGCCUUCGGGUUGUAAAGCUCUUUCGGCCGGGAAGAAAUCGCAUGGGUUAAUACCCUGUGCGGAUGACGGUACCGGCAUAAGAAGCACCGGCUAACUACGUGCCAGCAGCCGCUGUAA